UACGUAGGGUGCAAGCGUUGUCCGGAAUUAUUGGGCGUAAAGAGCUCGUAGGCGGUCUGUUGCGUCGGCUGUGAAAACCCGGGGCUCAACUCCGGGCCUGCAGCCGAUACGGGCAGACUAGAGUUCGGCAGGGGAGACUGGAAUUCCUGGUGUAGCGGUGAAAUGCGCAGAUAUCAGGAGGAACACCGGUGGCGAAGGCGGGUCUCUGGGCCGAUACUGACGCUGAGGAGCGAAAGCUAGGGGAGCAAACGGG
rnacentral:rRNA from 1 species